AUUGAUCUCCAUGAUGAUAUUUGAUCCUCUCUUUCUGACAAAACAAUGCUAACAAGGAAUUCCCUGGAGGCAUAUCUGCAUGAAUGAAAUUGUCCACCAGCAGCAACGUCAUAAGUGCAUGAAUCCCUAUGUAAGCAAGAGCAGAUUUAAAAUGUUCAUGUCCUUGAAAAUCUUCAACAUAAUGUGAGUCACUCUCUCCCUAUAAUACACCUUAUCACUUUAGAUAGAAUUAAAGAGUCGGAUAUGCCGGCGUAUCAUCUUCAUCAUUUAUCUUUUCUUGUAGCAGUAGAACGGUUUCCACGGUUAUGGAUUUCAAAUCACUUGAAUCCAUCAAACAAAUAUUCAUCUGCUGCCUCUAGUCUAUCAACUCUGGAUGUGGCUUCAAAGGAUUUCUAUGGAAGAGGAUAUGAUGACGGUGAUAUGCGCAUCUCUGACAUGACAAUCAUCACUAAGCAGCUUGGUAGCCAACCACCCAAGUCCCUACCAUGACUCCUGCAACUUCUUGGUUUACGCCCAAGCGGUUACCGGCUAUAUUUGGUGUGAUUAACAUGAUGUAGUCUUGUUUGGCACAAAGAACAGCCUAUGGCAGACCUUGCAAAUUGUAGGUUGCAGCAAGUGCAUGUAUACCAGCUUUAUUUGUUACAUGUUGUAUGGUGUUGGAUUAUGUUCACACUGAUUUUGCUGCAGGAAAAUCCUAUGAUCAUGGUUUGGCUUCAACCUUCACAUGCAGCUAACUAGUUUUUUGGUUGGGUUUACUUGCAGGCUGAUGGUGUGUUGAUUCAAUGCCAUUCCAUGUUGAGCUUGUGGUAGUAGUACGGUAACAGAUCUGGCACAAUGUCGGUAGCAGCCAUUUUACAAUGGAUAUGGAUGACCAUUUGUCCUCGGCAUUGUCUUGGCGGGUUUGUGGCUUUCCCUAAGGUAAUGGUUCUGUCUCCUAAUGCAGUAUAUAGAGAAAGCUUCCCAACAGGAAUUCCCAUUCCCUGGGCACCGAGAUCUCCUAGUCCUAAUAUACGUUCACCAUCUGUCACAACAAUAACUUGAAUAGUUUUCUCCGGCCAGUUCUUAAGAACUUCAAGGAUCUUGCCUUUCUCCUUCAAACUGAUAUAUAAACCCUGAGGACGCCUAUAAAUGCUUCCAUAUUUCUGACAUGCUUCUCCAACAAUUGGAGUGUAAACAAACGGUAACAAUUCCUCGACAUUGUCGAUGAGAAGCUUGUAAAACAGCCUCUCAUUCCUCUCCUGAAGAUCCAUCAAGGCUAUAUACCUAUGAAGAGGAACAUCAUAUUGGUGAAGAUUAUGCAUUAAUCUCUUUUCCUGAAGAUCUUGAGUGUAAACAGCGGGAGGCAAAAGGCCACGAACGUAAUGAGCAUCUCUUUCUUUCUCAGUGAAAGCAAGACCUUUGUUGUAACGUGGAUCUCUGAGCAAAGUGCAUCCACUAGCCACAGAGAAACUCCAUGGUGUGAUGAGUUGAUCUUCUGUAGCACUAUCUUCACCAUAGAGAUCCUUAACACCACCACCGACAGAACCGUUCACGUAAGCCAUAUUGUCUCAGAUUAAUCUUUUUAAUUGUUUGUGUGGUGAUGUUGCAGGUUGUAGUUUUUCCCCCUGCUGUUUGAUGCAGAUGCAAGUGUGACAGGGUUGUACCUUUGUUGCGAUGGAAAAGAUAGAGUGUGCUUGCACACCAGCUAUUGCUACUCUGUUGUGCAGGCUGGUUUAUCAAUGUAUGCAAGGCAAAUUUGAGUGUAGGUAGACUGCUUGGCAUUAGGUCUUGCUGACUUGGCCUUCGACACACUUGUGGUUUUGACUCAAGACUUGUUAGCAACAUGUCGAUUCAAGAGCUAUUGGCAACAUGUUAGUUGAGACUUGACAAAUGCAGCAGGACAAAGUAAGAAACUCCAAAGUUCAAGACAUGACCAAGUUAGCAUUAAAGUGAAGAAAACAAAUUGACAUGGAAAAAACCAAGUCAACAUGGGCACGGAGCAUGGAAUAAGGGUUAGGGUCAGUCCUUUGGUGAUUAGGGAUGAACAAGGACCUAGGGUUGACUUUGGUCAACGUUGACCAAAAAGUCAAUUGUUGACCAAA
rnacentral:lncRNA from 1 species